GAGUUUGAUCCUGGCUCAGGAUGAACGCUGGCGGCGUGCUUAACACAUGCAAGUCGAGCGAAGCACUUAAGUUUGAUUCUUCGGAUGAAAACUUAUUUGACUGAGCGGCGGACGGGUGAGUAACGCGUGGGUAACCUGCCUCAUACAGGGGGAUAACAGUUAGAAAUGACUGCUAAUACCGCAUAAGACCACGGUACCGCAUGGUACAGUGGUAAAAACUCUGGUGGUAUGAGAUGGACCCGCGUCUGAUUAGGUAGUUGGUGGGGUAACAGCCUACCAAGCCGACGAUCAGUAGCCGACCUGAGAGGGUGACCGGCCACAUUGGGACUGAGACACGGCCCAGACUCCUACGGGAGGCAGCAGUGGGGAAUAUUGCACAAUGGAGGAAACUCUGAUGCAGCGACGCCGCGUGAAGGAUGAAGUAUUUCGGUAUGUAAACUUCUAUCAGCAGGGAAGAAAAUGACGGUACCUGACUAAGAAGCCCCGGCUAACUACGUGCCAGCAGCCGCGGUAAUACGUAGGGGGCAAGCGUUAUCCGGAUUUACUGGGUGUAAAGGGAGCGUAGACGGCUUUGCAAGCCAGAUGUGAAAGCCCGGGGCUCAACCCCGGGACUGCAUUUGGAACUGUAAUGCUAGAGUGUCGGAGAGGCAAGUGGAAUUCCUAGUGUAGCGGUGAAAUGCGUAGA
rnacentral:rRNA from 1 species